CCUACGGGAGGCAGCAGUGGGGAAUAUUGGACAAUGGGCGAAAGCCUGAUCCAGCAAUGCCGCGUGAGUGAUGAAGGCCUUAGGGUUGUAAAGCUCUUUUACCCGGGAUGAUAAUGACAGUACCGGGAGAAUAAGCUCCGGCUAACUCCGUGCCAGCAGCCGCGGUAAUACGGAGGGAGCUAGCGUUAUUCGGAAUUACUGGGCGUAAAGCGCACGUAGGCGGCUUUGUAAGUAAGAGGUGAAAGCCUGGUGCUCAACACCAGAACUGCCUUUUAAGACUGCAUCGCUUGAAUCCAGGAGAGGUGAGUGGAAUUCCGAGUGUAGAGGUGAAAUUCGUAGAUAUUCGGAAGAACACCAG
rnacentral:rRNA from 1 species